rnacentral:sRNA from 1 species
UGAUGCCAGGGUUAAAAGGUCUAAUCCCACAUGAGCUUGCUCAUAAGUGGGUGAAAGACCUUGGAACCCGCCCCAAUAUGAGCAUAAAAGUGGGAUAACAAUCCCACGAUAUGCGAAUAUUGGGUAGAAUUGUGGGAGUGCGUAGCACGGAACAAUUCGUAGGCAUCA